GGGCGAUUAGUUCAGAGGCAGAACAGGCAAAACUUACCCACAGAAGCUAUGGUCCCCGGUUCGAAUCCGGGAUCGCCCA
rnacentral:tRNA from 1 species